CGGGUGAGUAACACGUAUGCAACCUGCCUGCCACAGCCGGAUAAUCGGGAGAAAAUUCCGUCUAAUACGGCAUAAUGCAUCGACGGGACAUCCUGUUGGUGCCAAAGGUUGAUUCCGGUGGCGGAUGGGCAUGCGUCGCAUUAGUUAGUUGGCGGUGUAACGGACCACCAAGACGACGAUGCGUAGGGGUUCUGAGAGGAAGGUCCCCCACACUGGUACUGAGACACGGACCAGACUCCUACGGAAGGCAGCAG
rnacentral:rRNA from 1 species